rnacentral:rRNA from 1 species
UACAGAGGUCCCGAGCGUUGUUCGGAUUCAUUGGGCGUAAAGGGUGCGUAGGUGGCGCCGUAAGUGGGGUGUGAAAUCCCGGGGCUUAACCCCGGGACUGCAUUCCAUACUGCGGUGCUUGAGGACUGGAGAGGAGACUGGAAUUUACGGUGUAGCAGUGAAAUGCGUAGAGAUCGUAAGGAAGACCAGUGGCGAAGGCGGGUCUCGUGGACAGUUCCUGACACUGAGGCACGAAGGCCAGGGGAGCAAACGGGGA